UACGAAGGGGGCUAGCGUUGUUCGGAAUCACUGGGCGUAAAGCGCACGUAGGCGGAUUGUUAAGUCGGGGGUGAAAUCCUGAGGCUCAACCUCAGAACUGCCUUCGAUACUGGCGAUCUUGAGUCCGGAAGAGGUUGGUGGAACAGCUAGUGUAGAGGUGAAAUUCGUAGAUAUUAGCUAGAACACCAGUGGCGAAGGCGGCCAACUGGUCCGGAACUGACGCUGAGGUGCGAAAGCGUGGGGAGCAAACAGG
rnacentral:rRNA from 1 species